UUUAGUAAGGUAGUUUAAGUUUGAAUGGUAGAUUGUAAAUUUAUUGGUGACGCUGUCUCUUAUUA
rnacentral:tRNA from 1 species